UGGCGGCAGGGCUAACACAUGCAAGUCGAACGGGCGUAGCAAUACGUCAGUGGCAGACGGGUGAGUAACACGUGGGAACGUGCCCUUCGGUUCGGAACAACCCAGGGAAACUUGGGCUAAUACCGGAUACGUCCGCAAGGAGUAAAGAUUUAUCGCCGAAGGAUCGGCCCGCGUCUGAUUAGCUUGUUGGUGAGGUAACGGCUCACCAAGGCGACGAUCAGUAGCUGGUCUGAGAGGAUGAUCAGCCACACUGGGACUGAGACACGGGCCAGACUCCUACGGGAGGNAGCAGUGGGGAAUNUUGGCCAAUGGGCGCAAGCCUGAUCCAGCCAUUUCGCGUGAGUGNUGAUGGCCUUAGNGUUGUAUNGCUC
rnacentral:rRNA from 1 species